AUCGCUUCUCGGCCUUUUGGCUAAGAUCAAGUGUAGUAUCUGUUCUUAUCAGUUUAAAGAUAUCUAUAAGAGCACGACAGGAUCUGAGUUUGAAUUGAUGAAAUGAAGUGCAUGAAGAAAGACAUUUAUGAAGAAGACUGCUGCAGUACAUAUUAUAUAAUUAGGACAAACUUAAAAUUUGGCAAACAACGU